rnacentral:lncRNA from 10 species
AGGCAGAGCUGCAUGCUGGGUGCGGGAAGAGUACCAGGAUUCUUUGGGCGGUGAGUGCCAGAGGGCCCCAGUCACCCAGAACCCCCACCCCGAGUCAAAGCGCUGAAAUGAGCCCCGCGGCAGGGGCCGUGUUCAUUACCUUUGAAAAUGCUCAGUUCUUCUUCGGUCCAGGGCGGGGCAGAAGGGAGGAUGCAGAGGGAGAAACAGGAUGAACUCAAACACAGGAGAUAGGAGAUGAUUUGGAUGAAGUGAUAAAGAAAAGGCUUCACUCCAAGAAAAAAAAGAAAAAGAAAAGAAAAUGAAAAGACCUGCAGGAGCAAGAAGCCCUUUCCAGGGUGUGCUUAUGAGGAAGAAGGGAAUUAUGGUGAUAGCUACCACUUAAGCACUUACCUUGUUCCAGGUGCAAUAACGGUGUUUUACAGGCAUUAUUUUAUUUAGUCCCCCAAAAUAAAGCUAUUACGUACCUUUUUAUCAUUACCCCUAAUAAAACUAAUGAUUAGACUGUUUAAAAACCUACCUGGGUCAUACGGACAGUUACCAGUGGACCCAAGAUUCAAACCUUUGUAUUUCAGAGUCCAGAAUAUAUAUUUUUACCCCUACUUUGUAGGAUAAGAAAAUGCAGCCCAGUCAACCAGCCAAGGUCUACCAUUUGCUAUAGGACACGAGAUGACCAAGGUUUCACAUAAUAAUGGUAAUUCAGUUCUGCACAUUAGCUCUCCCUGCCAUCAUCCAUCCGGUUCAUAGAAGUGGACAGGAUAUGAGGAAGGCUUCAGUGAUCACUGUCCUAGCCAGAUUCUGCCCCAGGACCACAAGCUUAAACUCCAGAUGCCCAAGCCCCGGCUUAUAAAUGGUUCCCCUCGCCAUGUUUCCCAAGCUGUGGAGGAGUGGGAAGGUUGAGUGGAGGAAGGGAUAUCUGCCUCCAACCACGCUAGACCCGACCUGCUGUCACCGCCCGCCCCAGCUGGAUCCAGAAUGGAAACCUGGAAUAGCAGGCAAAGCCACCCCCGACACUCCAUGUUCCUCCCCAGAACCAGCUCCCUCUCCUACCAGCUGAAUUUUCAGGACAGAGCUGCCAGGUGGCCAGUCCACAGGUGGAAGUGGAAGGAGAUUGAAAGGACCUGGGAAGAGGUUCAUUGGUCAUGGUGCCUGGCUGGUGCUUUCCAAAGCCAAGGUUGCUGGUGUGUGCCUGACAGUUCCAUAGGAAGUAGGGACUUCUGGGAGGGAGGAGGAGGUGGAAGGUGCCCUGGUCAGCAAAGUGGGGUCCAAGCCUUCUAGUCCCAACUGGGCACAUCACUUCAUCUCUGAGAGUCUCAUUUUCUUCAGCCACAACUAAUGAACAAAGUCUCCUUCAGCUCCCAAAUCCGAAUAGCUUUAAGGAUAUCCCCUGCUUGCUGCUUGUUAUUAUGUCAGGCCCUGUGCUAAGCGCUUUGCAUAUAUUACCUCAUUUAAUCCCCAUUUUGGAAGUCAGGAAACAGCCUCUGAGACAUUUUGUAACUUAGCUAAGGUCACUCAGUUGACAAAUAGUGAAGUGAUGGGAUUCAGUAGCCUCUGCUGCUAGCCACUGCCUCAGGGCAGGUAAUUAUUUCUAUGAAUUCAGCAGGGCCAAGCCAACUAGACUAAGCAAAAGAAAUGAGGAUCCAAAAAAAUUCAUGCGCUUUUUCAUGCGCGGUGAAUGCAGGAAAAGUCAUAUAUAUAUAUGGCUAUGUAAAUCAGCAACUGCAAUAUUUGAAUCAGCAUGAAUAAAAAACCAUUCCUCUGUCUCUUAAAAAAAUAGGCAGAUCUGUUUUCUUCUUCCUCAUUUCUAUCUGAGCCUCUGUACCAAGGAGAAACGGGAAUAAGACAGGACUAGAUUCUUCCCAAACACCAGGUGAUGCGGUCAGUGAGGAGAGCUCCAGAAUCAAAAGAUGAAGAAGGACCUGCCUCUAGCCCCCAAGAGGUAUGCUGUUCUUCCCACACAUCUCAGCUCUCUCCCAGCACUGAGUCCAGCCCUCCACAGAAAGGGGAGGAAAAUGCCCACCCCUAGCCCUGCCCUUCCCCAACCCUCCACACAUCACUCCUUCUUCUUCCUGCCCUCCUGCACAGUCUGAUAAUGGUGCUCUCUCUUGCUCAGCCCUUUAGCCCUGCAGACCUAGGACAGGGCAUGACUUGGGAAGGCUCCUGUGCACAGGGUGCACUGGAGGAGGUGCCCCAGGCCCUGGGCCAUGGAGAUAAUUGUGUAUCUGCUUCUCUUUUACCUUUUGGGUGGGUAGCCUCUCCUUUUUUAAGGGACACUGACUUCAACCAUGUCUACUAAUCCCUCAGUAUGGCUCCCUGGGCACUCAAGAGCAACAGUUCCAGGCAGGGACCCCCACAUCCUACUCUAAUUACUACUGCAGACACAGAGGAGACCAAUUCCAUUCCUUCCCUGGCCUCUUGGAUUCUUUGUUUACUCACCUCUUUCCA